rnacentral:rRNA from 1 species
GACGAACGCUGGCGGCGUGCUUAACACAUGCAAGUCGAACGGAAAGGCCCUGCUUUUGUGGGGUGCUCGAGUGGCGAACGGGUGAGUAACAUGUGAGUAACCUGCCCUUGACUUUGGGAUAACUUCAGGAAACUGGGGCUAAUACCGGAUAGGAGCUCCUGCUGCAUGGUGGGGGUUGGAAAGUUUCGGCGGUUGGGGAUGGACUCGCGGCUUAUCAGCUUGUUGGUGGGGUAGUGGCUUACCAAGGCUUUGACGGGUAGCCGGCCUGAGAGGGUGACCGGCCACAUUGGGACUGAGAUACGGCCCAGACUCCUACGGGAGGCAGCAGUGGGGAAUAUUGCACAAUGGGCGGAAGCCUGAUGCAGCAACGCAGCGUGCGGGAUGACGGCCUUCGGGUUGUAAACCGCUUUCGCCUGUGACGAAGCGUGAGUGACGGUAAUGGGUAAAGAAGCACCGGCUAACUACGUG